AUGGUAGGAUAGAGGCCUACCAUGGUGGUAACGGGUAACGGGGUGUUAGGGCACGACACCGGAGAGGGAGCCUGAGAAACGGCUACCACAUCCAAGGAUGGCAGCAGGCGCGCAAAUUACCCAAUCCCGACACGGGGAGGUAGUGACAAUAAAUAACAGUACGGGGUUCUUUAGGAUCUCGUAAUUGGAAUGAGUACAAUUUAAAUCUCUUAACGAGGAACAAUUGGAGGGCAAGUCUGGUGCCAGCAGCCGCGGUAAUUCCAGCUCCAAUAGCGUAUAUUAAAGUUGUUGCAGUUAAAAAGCUCGUAGUUGAAUUUCGGGGUCAGUAGGUCGGUCGUGCCACUGGUAUGAACUGGUUUUACUGAUUCCUCCCUCUUGAAGAACUGUAAUGCCAUUAAUUUGGUGUUGCAGGGAACCAGGACUGUUACUUUGAAAAAAUUAGAGUGUUUAAAGCAGGCUUUAGCUUGAAUACAUUAGCAUGGAAUAAUGAAAUAGGACGUUUGAUCCUAUUUUGUUGGUUUCUAGGAUUGACGUAAUGAUUAAUAGGGAUAGUUGGGGGCAUUAGUAUUCAAUUGUCAGAGGUGAAAUUCUUGGAUUUAUUGAAGACUAACUACUGCGAAAGCAUUUGCCAAGGAUGUUUUCAUUAAUCAAGAACGAAAGUUAGGGGAUCGAAGACGAUCAGAUACCGUCGUAGUCUUAACCAUAAACUAUGCCGACUAGGGAUCGGAUGAUGUUAAUUUUUUAAUGACUCAUUCGGCGCCUUACGGGAAACCAAAGUGUUUGGG
rnacentral:rRNA from 1 species